rnacentral:rRNA from 1 species
CAGGCCUAACACAUGCAAGUCGAACGGAAAGGCCCUGCUUUUGUGGGGUGCUCGAGUGGCGAACGGGUGAGUAACACGUGAGUAACCUGCCCUCGACUUUGGGAUAACUUCAGGAAACUGGGGCUAAUACCGGAUAGGAGCUCCUGCUGCAUGGUGGGGGUUGGAAAGUUUCGGCGGUUGGGGAUGGACUCGCGGCUUACCAGCUUGUUGGUGGGGUAGUGGCUUACCAAGGCUUUGACGGGUAGCCGGCCUGAGAGGGUGACCGGCCACAUUGGGACUGAGAUACGGCCCAGACUCCUACGGGAGGCAGCAGUGGGGAAUAUUGCACAAUGGGCGGAAGCCUGAUGCAGCAACGCCGCGUGCGGGAUGACGGUCUUCGGGUUGUAAACCGCUUUCGCCUGUGACGAAGCGUGAGUGACGGUAAUGGGUAAAGAAGCACCGGCUAACUACGUGCCAGCAGCCGCGGUGAUACGUAGGGUGCGAGCGUUGUCCGGAUUUAUUGGGCGUAAAGGGCUCGUAGGUGGUUGAUCGCGUCGGAAGUGUAAUCUUGGGGCUUAACCCUGGGCGUGCUUUCGAUACGGGUUGACUUGAGGAAGGUAGGGGAGAAUGGAAUUCCUGGUGGAGCGGUGGAAUGCGCAGAUAUCAGGAGGAACACCAGUGGCGAAGGCGGUUCUCUGGGCCUUUCCUGACGCUGAGGAGCGAAAGCGUGGGGAGCGAACAGGCUUAGAUACCCUGGUAGUCCACGCUGUA